rnacentral:rRNA from 1 species
CACAUAGGGUGCGAGCGUUGUCCGGAAUUAUUGGGCGUAAAGAGCUCGUAGGCGGUGUGUCGCGUCGGCCGUGAAAACCUGCAGCUUAACUGUGGGCUUGCGGUCGAUACGGGCAUCACUGGAGUUCGGCAGGGGAGACUGGAAUUCCUGGUGUAGCGGUGAAAUGCGCAGAUAUCAGGAGGAACACCGGUGGCGAAGGCGGGGUCUCUGGGCCGUAACUACGCUGAGGAGCGAAAGCGUGGGGGAGCGAACAGG